AAUAUUGCGCAAUGGAGGGAACUCUGACGCAGCGACGCCGCGUGAGUGAUGAAGGUCUACGGAUCGUAAAGUUCUGUCCUUGGGGAAGAAGAUCUUCGGAUUUGACGGUACCCAAGGAGGAAGCCCCGGCUAACUACGUGCCAGCAGCCGCGGUAAUACGUAGGGGGCAAGCGUUGUCCGGAAUUAUUGGGCGUAAAGGGUGCGUAGGCGGCCUUUUAAGUCAGAUUUGAAAGACCACGGCUUAACCGUGGGGUUGCAUUUGAAACUGGAGGGCUUGAGUAUCGGAGAGGGUAGUGGAAUUCCCAGUGUAGCGGUAGAAUGCGUAGAUAUUGGGAGGAACACCAGUGGCGAAGGCGACUACCUGGACGAAAACUGACGCUGAUGCACGAAAGCUAGGGGAGCAAACAG
rnacentral:rRNA from 1 species